UACGGGGGGGGCAAGCGUUGUUCGGAAUUACUGGGCGUAAAGAGCGCGCAGGCGGUCGUUCAAGUCGCGUGUGAAAGCCCCCGGCUCAACUGGGGAGGGUCACGCGAUACUGAUCGACUCGAAGGCAGGAGAGGGUAGUGGAAUUCCCGGUGUAGUGGUGAAAUGCGUAGAUAUCUGGAGGAAUACCGGUGGCGAAGGCGGCAUCCUGGACCGAGAUUGACGCUGAUGAGCGAAAGCUAGGGGAGCAAACGGG
rnacentral:rRNA from 1 species